GGGCCCUUAGCUCAGCUGGCUAGAGCACCUGCUUUGCAAGCAGGGGGUCAAGGGUUCGAAUCCCUUAGGGUCCA
rnacentral:tRNA from 1 species